rnacentral:rRNA from 1 species
GGAGUUUGGGCCGUGUCUCAGUCCCAAUGUGGCCGUCCGACCUCUCAGUCCGGCUACAGAUCGUCGCUUUGGUGGGCCGUUACCCCGCCAACUGGCUAAUCUGACGCGGGCCCAUCUCGUACCACCGGAGUUUUUCACACCGUGUCAUGCGACACUGUGCGCUUAUGCGGUAUUAACAGUCGUUUCCAACUGUUAUCCCCCGGUACGAGGCAGGUUGCCCACGCGUUACUCACCCGUCCGCCACUAAGAUUUAACAAGAUUCUGCCGAAGCUUCAUCAGCGUUAAAUCUCCGUUCGACUUGCAUGUGUUAGGCACGCCGCCAGCGUUCAUC